rnacentral:rRNA from 1 species
AUUGAACGCUGGCGGCAGGCCUAACACAUGCAAGUCGAGCGGAUGAAGGGAGCUUGCUCCUGGAUUCAGCGGCGGACGGGUGAGUAAUGCCUAGGAAUCUGCCUGGUAGUGGGGGAUAACGUCCGGAAACGGGCGCUAAUACCGCAUACGUCCUGAGGGAGAAAGUGGGGGAUCUUCGGACCUCACGCUAUCAGAUGAGCCUAGGUCGGAUUAGCUAGUUGGUGGGGUAAAGGCCUACCAAGGCGACGAUCCGUAACUGGUCUGAGAGGAUGAUCAGUCACACUGGAACUGAGACACGGUCCAGACUCCUACGGGAGGCAGCAGUGGGGAAUAUUGGACAAUGGGCGAAAGCCUGAUCCAGCCAUGCCGCGUGUGUGAAGAAGGUCUUCGGAUUGUAAAGCACUUUAAGUUGGGAGGAAGGGCAGUAAGUUAAUACCUUGCUGUUUUGACGUACCAACAGAAU